rnacentral:rRNA from 1 species
CCUACGGGUGGCAGCAGUGAGGAAUAUUGGUCAAUGGACGAGAGUCUGAACCAGCCAAGUAGCGUGAAGGAUGACUGCCCUAUGGGUUGUAAACUUCUUUUAUAUGGGAAUAAAACGUUCCACGUGUGGGAUUUUGUAUGUACCAUAUGAAUAAGGAUCGGCUAACUCCGUGCCAGCAGCCGCGGUAAUACGGAGGAUCCGAGCGUUAUACGGAUUUAUUGGGUUUAAAGGGAGCGUAGGUGGAUUGUUAAGUCAGUUGUGAAAGUUUGGGGCUCAACCGUAAAAUUGCAGUUGAGACUGGCAGUCUUGAGUACAGUAGAGGUGGGCGGAAUUCGUGGUGUAGCGGUGAAAUGCUUAGAUAUCACGAAGAACUCCGAUUGCGAAGGCAGUUCACUGGACUGCAACUGACACUGAGGCUCGAAAGUGUGGGUAUCAAACAGGAUUAGAUACCCCUGUAGUC